CCACACGAGAAGGACAUCAUAGAAAAGCCUGACUAAGAUGGAGAUGAGGUCAGUGCAAACUAUAGUUAUCCAUUCAUUUAACUCCCAGCAGCCACAACUUAUGAGGCACACAAUUACAGCGUAAAGCAUAUCGACUAAAGCUAUUAUUUUCAUUUAACGAUGUUAGCUCUGCAUCUGAAAAGAAGAAGAGGAAGGCAUCAACUUCCGCAUCAGCCAAGAAACAAGUUAGGAAAGCGCUCUUCCCACAGAAAUAAGGAUCUUGCUACUUGCCCGUUUUUAAACGGUUCAGACCAACAUGAAGGAGAGAAGAUCGGCUCGCCUAGGACGGAUAUUUGUAAUAUUAUGGGACUACCAGCUACUCUAGACUGCUUGUGCCUUUGAUGUGUAAUAUUUGGUACCUACUACCCAGCUAUGCCCUAAGACCUACUACCGUGUUUAUUUGCAUGCCUGCUUCUGCAAGGCUAUCUAUUGUCGUGUAUAAUUACACUAACUGCUUAGGAAAACUGUUACUUGCAAUGCUCUCAUGCUUCUGCACGUAGAGUGACACUUUGAAUCACAUGGCUUUGUAUGCCACCA